UCAGAGGACGUCACACACCGGCGGCGCUUGCGUGACGUAAGCGCUGCUCCGUCAGAAGGCCCCACAGGUCGGCAGAGGAUACCACCACUAGUGGGAAAGCUACCCCCGAUCAGCACAUGGCCCCAGCAGUCAUCCACUGAUGCUCCUCAAAUUGUUUGAAAGACAGCUUUUUUUUCUGGGUGCGUCUCAAAAACAAAACAAAACAAACAAAAACAGCUUUUUGGCUGGGCGUGGUGUCUCAUGCCUAUAAUCCCAGUACUUUGGGAGGCCGAAGCGAGCGGGUCACCUGAGGUCAGGAGUUUGAGACCAGUCUGGCCAACAUGGUGAAACCCGUCUCUAUUAAAAAUACAAAAAAAUUAUCUGAGCAUGGUGGUGGGCACCUGUAAUCCCAACUACUCGGGAGGCUGAGGCAGGAGAAUCGCUUGAACCUGGGAGGCUGAGGUUGCAGUGAGCUAAGAUUACGCCAUUGCACUCCAGCCUGGGUGGCAGAGCAAGACUCUGUCUCAAAAAACAAAACAAAACAAAACAAAAACCCAAAAUAGCUUUUGUCCAGUGGCUGCUUUUUGUGAGUCUGUAUGCUGAGGCCAAGUUACAUGUAAGCAGAGCCUGCCCACCUCACCUUCCAACAGUGCCUCUAAACUAUCACCAUCUGAAAAUAAAAGAAAUCCCUUUCUUCAAAUGCGUGGUGACCUGAAGCUGGCCAAGGGCCGGGGACUGGCAGGCGGCCUGGGAGGUGGGGUUGGACCCCAGGUUACUGUCUGAGGAGGGACGACACGCUGUAAGGGCUGGGGAGCCAGUGUCUGGCUUCCCUGUCACCGCAAGGCCUGUGGUUUCUAGCCCUGUCUGCUCCGAGUCCCACUAAGCAGCAGCAGAAGAGAAAACAGACGUGCACACAGCGGACGCGCACAUGCACACCGGCCCCCCAGACGUGCGCAGCCCUCAGAGGAAGUGGAGCACCAGAUGUUCUGGGUUUCCUGUUCGACGCUUCCACAGCUGGUCGAGUCUGUGGUUGUGGUUUGUCUGUCUCGGGCUCAUGUGAGAGACAAAAGCUGGGCUGACGGGAAGCCUUUUCUCCCGGCCCCCACUCCCCAGCUCUGACUGAUCAGGAACCCUGGCAGGUCAGAAAUUUCCUGAAACACCCAGAGCUGGGUUCUCCCAAGAAGAGGCUGAACCCCUGACUCCUGUCCCCGAGGAGCAGCCCCUGGGCUGAUAAUCAGGCCUUCCAGAACCUGGGGCGAUGGAAACGUCUACAAAUAUCCCAUUAAGAAAGACCACCAGCCCUGCUGAGCAGAAUGAAGCGGAGGCCGGGUUGCUGCGGUCUCUACUCUGAGGCUUGGCAUCGAGCUGCCUCUGAAAAGCACUCAGCACAUGAAGGAAUGAAUGAGGAACAGAGAACUUCACCUUUGGGGGCUGGGUGUAAAAGCCUCAGCUGGGCUUCAAGUCCCAUAAAUAGCUUUGGAUUCCAACAGACAGCUGAUGCUGCGAGGUGCUGCUGACUUGCUGUGACCUGGAGCAGGCCAUGUAGCCUCUCUGGGCCUGCUGUCUUCAUCUGCAAAAUGGAGAUGAUAAUAUCUACUUCACAAAGGGGUGGAGGCCCAGUGAGACACCGCACAUGGAUUUCCUUGACACUGUUUCCCCAUCGUAACUGCUCCAGAGAGGCGGGGCUCCCUCUUCUCACAACACUGCGGUUUAUUUCAGGAGAUACACUGAAAGGCAAGCAAGAUAAAACAAGCAACAGCCGAAGCACGGAUCCAGGGACAACUGCCCGGCGGGACAGCGAGCAAGAGUCCUGGCAUCUGUGCUGCUGCUCUUUGUUGGGGGAUAUUGGGGGAAGGGGCUGGAAUCAUCCCAGGGUGUCUAGGCUCUGGAAGGGAGCACCCCGUAUCCUCCUUUGGGUGUGGAAUCAGGUGAGUGUCUUGGGGGUGGAGGGAGAACAGGCAGAGUGUGCCCUCCCCGCCUUUGCUCCGCAGUGAUCUUAAUGAUUAAGGCUACUGUUCAGUCUGCAUUUGGAUCUGAGCAACAGGGACCCCUGCCCAGAGGGCCGUCCUUCAGCAGGCUGCACCCCGGCCGCCUCCACUGCAGCCCUCUCUGUGACAUGAAGCAUCUGCCGCUGACUGUAGCUAUGAGGGCCACUGACCCUGCAAUAUGACCGACUAGGUUCAAAUAUUGACUCUGACACUUAGAAGCUGUGCCACCUUGGGGCAAGUUACUUCAUCUCUCUGUGCCUCACUUUCUUCCUUUAUAAAAUGGGUAAAACAGUAAUCACACAAUCGGUUAUCUAUGACGAUUAAACGAGUUAAUAAUAUAUGCAAAGCACUUAGCAUGGCUACUGGCUCAUGGGUCAGGAAAUGUUAGCUGUUGCACAC